rnacentral:rRNA from 1 species
UACGAAGGGUGCAAACGUUGCUCGGAAUCAUUGGGCGUAAAGCGCACGUAGGCGGCGAUCUAAGUCGGAUGUGAAAUCCCUCGGCUCAACCGAGGACGUGCAUCCGAAACUGGAUUGCUCGAGUAUGGAAGAGGGUCGCGGAAUUCUCGGUGUAGAGGUGAAAUUCGUAGAUAUCGGGAGGAACACCAGUGGCGAAGGCGGCGACCUGGGCCAAUACUGACGCUGAGGUGCGAAAGCGUGGGGAGCGAACAGG